rnacentral:rRNA from 1 species
GUGGGGAAUAUUGGACAAUGGGCGAAAGCCUGAUCCAGCCAUGCCGCGUGAGUGAUGAAGGCCUUAGGGUUGUAAAGCUCUUUCAGUAGGGAAGAUAAUGACGGUACCUACAGAAGAAGCCCCGGCUAACUUCGUGCCAGCAGCCGCGGUAAUACGAAGGGGGCUAGCGUUGUUCGGAUUUACUGGGCGUAAAGCGCACGUAGGCGGAUUGGUCAGCUAGAGGUGAAAUCCUGGAGCCCAACUCCAGAACUGCCUUUAAUACUGCCAGUCUAGAGUCCAGAAGAGGUGAGUGGAACUCCUAGUGUAGAGGUGGAAUUCGUAGAUAUUAGGAAGAACUCCAGUGGCGAAGGCGGCUCACCGGUCUGGUACUGACGCUGAGGUGCGAAAGCGUGGGGAGCAAACAGGAUUAGAUACCCGUGUAGUCC